ACAGUCGUUAUAUUGGGUUUUUUUUUUUUGUAAUAAAACAUGGAUCAUUUAUCGAGUAUAAGAACCACUGUGAAAGCAACUAUUUUCUAUAGACCCUGUUACAGACGAUAGUACCCGUACAUACCUUUUCAAUCUCCCGUUUCUUAACUCCUUCACAACACACGAGAUCCCCUUCUUCCGGAUAAUAUCCCCUUUUUCUUCAUCCAUAGAUCGUGUCCCCAAAUCAUAAACUCGUUACUUUCAUCACCAUUAACAGAUCAAUCUUAAAAAGUUUUCUACAAGCUUAAUUAUUAUUUUGUUCCAUUAACCAAAUUCAACAAAAACUCCAAGAACCCUAGAUUCAAAAUCCAAUUUGUUUAUCAAUAAUUAGAAAUCAAAGUUAGAAAUUGGGGACAAAACUCACCUCUCACAUCAAAGAUCGAAACUCACUGUCCAAAAUUAUAGGUUCGUCAUAACCCAUAUCUCAAAAUCAAAACGCAUGUAUCAAUACAAAUCUAAAGAAAACUUUGUAACCGAUUAGUUUUCUGCUCCUGAAAUCAUCAGAAGGGUUUUUCCUUAUAUAUUUUCCCUGACAACUCAUCAAGUCUUCAAGUGGGUUGAAGAUCUCUUCUCCUGGUGUAAGAAAUAAAACCCCUAAAUUUGAAAUUGAAUCUUCUCUUACUGCUGGUAAUGAUAAUCUCAAAAACCCUCAUUUUAUUUUAUUGUUUGAUUCUGCUUUUAGUAUUUGAAAACCUUAAUAUACUUUUGUUUUAUUGAAGCUUUGAGUGCUGAUGAUCGAACAAAUCUUGUUGGAACUCGUAAGGUAGUACUUGCUUUGUAAAUUUGAUUAAAGGACUCUGAUUUUAUUGUUUUUUUCCUGCAGGAUAAGAUAAUGUCAUGUCGUAAAGAGGAUAACCUGAAUUUAGUGAUUCCCUUUCAACAUAUGUUAGUAAAGGAGAACAAGAAGUUGGAAGAACAAAUGGUUGUAGCUUACAGCGUAACUGAUGGUGAACCCUUUAGCUUAGUGCUGCUAGUCACUACGAGUUUCAAUUGGUCGUAUGAUGAUCAAGGAAUAGUAUUCUAUAGCCUAUCCCUGGUUAUGCAUUGGCGGCAAAUAGCUGUUUGAAAGGAAUGGGAUGGAUCGCAUGAGUUUUCAUCCAAGUUCGAGCAGUGUGUGCUAAUUUUUAUCUUUUUGAAAUUAACAAAGUGAAUGACAUUCUUUGGAGCUAUAAAAGAUUGAACAAUGAAUUUGGUGCAGCUAGAAAUGCUACAGUCUUGUAGUUCUGAUUGUAAAACUUAGCACUCAAAAAAAAAAGAAGGUAUUAGCUUACGUACAUAACUCAUUCUCGACUUAUUUAUGAUGUUUACAAAAUAGAUAUUAGCUUACCUACUUCACUCAUCUCUGAAUAUAUAUCUUGCUACUUGUAAGCUCUAGAAGGAUGAUUAAUGUCUCCUAAGUAACAAUUCCAGGCUCUUGCACACAUUUUACAUGUUAAUUUCAACAUCAAUUUCUCUCAGCUUUAAACUCUUAGCCAACCUAACUACAUCCUGAUCUGUAAUGAUGUUUGUUCCUUUGUGGUGUUAUAGCAAAAUGCAUAUGGUCAAUAAUAAAUGCUUGACAUCAACAUUUGUGUUGUUAACUGCAUGAGAUAUCUUCCGGUAGACUUAGCAAAAGGGGUGCUCCAUGCACUUUGCUUGCAAGCACUAGGCCAGGUACUACAUUGCUGAUCGAAGUUAUUUUGUUUUAUAUGCAUAUCUCUGUUUAUUUUUAUGUAACCUUCAUAUUUACAGUAGGCUUUUCUUUAGUUUCAAUGGGUCAGAUAUUCACUUUGGCAUCAAUCCACCUUGCUUGCAGUAUAUGACUUGUUUGUUGCUUUUUACGUAAUCCGUUAGUUGUGAAUUGGUGUAGUGCUCGUUGAGAAUUUUUGGUUCCUUAAACAAGCUAUUGUCUGUAAGAAGAAGCCAAAUUUUGUCUUUAGAUCAACAAGCACUUGUCCGUUCCUGUUCCCUUUAUUUUUUUAACAAGUCUUGACCUUUUACUUUUAACCGAAGAUCAAGGAAUAAGCGUCAGGAUUACAUUCCCUGGUUAAGAGAUCAACUUCUAGGCACUCCCAUCACAGAUUUUCAUAGGCUCGUACUUGGUCCUUCCUUCAAGACAGUUUUCUAUAGAGCGUACUUGGUGAAUGGUUAUCUGUUUUAUACAGCAGAGGCAGAGCAAUAUAUGACUACACAAAAUAGUGGAGUGACCAUGGAUGCCUUCACCAGCUUUAGAGAAAGCGCCAAAGAUACCAACCUGGUGGGCGAUGAUACUUCUUACUUUGGCAUUGUGAAAAAUAUACUUGAACUCGAUUAUGAAGAAUUCACAGAAGUUGUUUUUCUCUGUGACUGGGUCCUGGUCGAAGACAAAACAACCGGAUCAUAUGUGGAUGCAGAGACGAACACGAGGUUCGUCAACUUCGAAAAGUUUAAGAGAAGCUCUAAAGAAGUUGACGAACCCUUCAUCCAUGCUCUCAAGCUGCCCAAGUCUUUUAUUGUGCUGAUGAGACUAGAAAGCAUUGGCAUCUUGUAUUAGAAUCUCCCAAGAGAUUCGGCCUAAAGGUGAAUGCUUAUGAAGAUCCAUAUGUGUUUGCUGCAUCCACGAAUCAACCUUCUUUCUUCAACAUCUUUAGCUGACGACGAGUACUGGAUGGAGAUUAGGAGCAGGUGGUGUAAUACGGCAUUCAUCUGGUUCUUAUGUAGCUGCCUUUGCCCAUGAUCUUUUUUUGAACUCGUAUGCAGUUGCUGAGCUUUGGUCUAUUAGUGACGGCCUUGUUCUUGCUCUGAAGCAUCAUAUUUCUCAUCUUAUUGUUGAUAGUAACUCGUCUUCCAGUGUUUCUUUUUGUAACUCAGUUUCCUCUCCACCUUAGUAUUUGAGAGGAGAGAUCUUCCUUUAGACUUAGCAGAAGGAGCGCUCUGUGCAAUUUUCUUGCAAGCAUUAGUCCAGGUACUAAAUUGCGCAUCAAAGGUAAUUUGUUUUCAUCUACGUAUUUGUGUUUCUUUGUAUUUUUAUGUGAUACUUUGUGAUUGCAGUUAACACAUCUUGUGUGUUGUUUUUUACAUAAUCCGUUAGUUGUGAAUGGGUGUAGUUCUUGUUGCACAUUUUUGGUUCCUUCAACGUGCACUUAUCUGUAAGAGAUCAACAGUGGUGUUGAAAUUGAAGUGGUCAAGAAUAUUUUUAGGUCAUACUAUACUGUUAGGUCUUUUUUAUUAAAUCUCUAACGCCAAAAUUAGUUUUUUCUGCAAGAUAAUAUUCCGUUCAGUUGGGGAGCUCAAUUCAUCUUUAUGUUGGUUAGUUUUGUUUUUCUAAUGUCCGUAGGUUGGGUUUAAGUGAUUGUAAGAAAAUUAGAUUUUAAGAAUGCUCUAAUAUAAUUAUAACUUAGAAUUGUGUGAAUUCAGUACAUGUGUAAAAUUUUUUGGGGUUUUAUUACCUAACUGUCAACUCAAUUAAUGUAAAUCGAGUUACUGUUGUAAACGUAUUUCGAAUUUGGAUUGAGUGGUGAAUGUUUUGUUA